GCCACUCUCACCGUGAAGUGCUGAGUAUUAGAGACACGACGGUGAAAAAAAAAGAAGUCACACCCAGCGCUUUGUUUGUGAAAAGCUUCGAGGCAUGCAGCCACAAUUCUGCGCUGGUAUACUUAGGUAAUGGAAAUCCAGCGAAUUGGCGAAGAUGAUUUCGAGGCAAGAAAACUAUGGCGAUACUUUAACAUCAUCUGUGAACGUGGAAUGAUGACGCAUGGUCAUCGGCGAAACAAAAUAGUCGUUGUUCAAACUAGAGUUUCUCGAGUCUCGGUGGACCGGCGUGGCGACCAGCCACCAGCGGAAUGAGAGUGGUAGCAGAUGCUUGUGUGCGUUUUGGUUUGCAAGAGUGUCUGUGAGCCGCGGAAAGCUUGACUGCCUCUAGUUUUCUUAGGCUUGAGAGAGAUAGCAACUCGGCUGCUAAGGCAGUGAAGUAAGGGAAACGUAAGGACUUCGACCCCCGUCUUUUCGACCCUAUGGCUUUGUGUCCCAGGGGUACCUCCGGAGCCUUCGGGUGAAAGAGUGCCUUACAGUCCUGGUGUUGACGACCCUGUUUCCUCGCGUAUUCGCCUCAAAAUUUCACGAUGUCUGUUAAGCCAAGUGUUUUCAGCCAUCUAGGACUGUACCCAGGUGAAUAGCUCACCGUGCUUUACUAGAUUUCCAUGAUGCGUCGCCGAUGGCUUGGCGUGAAUCGAGACCUGUGGCGGGUCGGAGGUGUGGAGGGCCAGGAUACAAAGAAAGUAUCCCUUUCUUUCUGAGCUGCUGUCAAUACGAAACCAAGGUACUCAGUCAUUGAACCACACUUUGAAAAGCUCCAAAUGCCAAUUUCACGGCGUGGGAUGUGGGCCGGCAUAGUUUGGGCCUUGGCUCUCGCAAGAAAAGCCAUGUAUCUUCGUGAUACUGCUACACUGAAGUUCCAGUGCGGAUGGAGCGUGAUGCGGAAAACAAUAUCCCAAAGUCGCGUAGGCAUUCUUCCCUGGCGUAUCUGUGGCGAUCUGCAAAUUGUGCAGAUGUCUUCUGUGUCUAAAGUGUCCUGAGCAAAUCCCCGAUGAAGUGCAUGGGGGGCUACUCGUGAUCUGGUUUAUGGGGGACAGGUGUACAUUGCGACCUUUGACUGUCAGGUUACUGUAAUGAGUUGCCGGAAAUGAAGUUUUCAUCUGGCGAGAAAUAGGGUUUACAAUCAGGCACAGUGCUUUUGCGAGAAUGUCAAUGCAAUCUGUGACUUCAACGCGCAACGCGUCGACAGCACCGACUGCCCUCGAAUGCAUGAUGGGAGCGUUCCUCAGUUGUGACAAGUGGCUGUUUAUCGAUCCAAUGCUUGGUCCCGUCGUCGAUCCAGUACCAUGCAUCGGGCGGGCAGGUGCCACUCAGAGAAGCAGUGGGCAAGUACAGAUGUCCAGACAUCGUUGGUAAGUUAAACGUAUAACCCACAUCUCAGCAUGCACGUAGCUGCGUUGCAACCUGUUGAAUUUUCGGCACUGGAACAGUGUUCGUCUCUUCCACCUGGUGUGGCUACUCAGCAAAAACUGGUCGUCCCGCUGGCGCAGAAGGCCAUGCGUGGCUAUUUGAUGCUGCUUGCACAGGGAAUUGUUUGUCGCUGGCUGGAACGUUUUGUGUAAGUGGUCACGGGCAGCGGUCUCCUGCGUGCUUGUAGUACGACUCGCGCAUCUGGAUGUACCGGGCAGCAUUGUCAACGAUGUAGCGCAUUUCCACAUAACAGUGACGAGCAGCUGUGCGAUUCAGUA
rnacentral:lncRNA from 1 species